AAAUCAACACAAUCCAGCAAACCUAAUUUUUCGUGCCUUAGGGCAUCAACCCCGAAAAUCCUUUUCAAAGCUAAAACCAACCAAACACACAAACAUUUUCUACUCUGAACUACGGAGCUCUGAUUCCUCAUCCCCGAAUGAGUGAUACAUAGGCACAAGGGCCACAAUCCUUGAUGAACUUUAUAAUAAAAAAAUCCUCUCUUUCACACAUAUUCUUUUGAAAAU
rnacentral:lncRNA from 1 species